rnacentral:rRNA from 1 species
AGCGCAGGCGGUUUCUUUAAGUCUGAUGUGAAAGCCUUCGGCUCAACCGAAGAAGUGCAUCGGAAACUGGGAAACUUGAGUGCAGAAGAGGACAGUGGAACUCCAUGUGUAGCGGUGAAAUGCGCAGAUAUAUGGAAGAACACCAGUGGCGAAGGCGGCUGUCUGGUCUGUAACUGACGCUGAGGGACGUCCGAAAAGCGAUGGGUAGCAAACA